rnacentral:sRNA from 1 species
UAUUGUUCACCGAAUCUGGUUGCUAGC